UGUUCUACAAGGACAUUAUUGAGCGCAUUCGCGUUAUUUGCAUGCAAAAGUGUUUAGGAUUUUGCGUUUAAACUUGUAAAGUGUCGAAUCCACGACUUCAUGAAGUGAAACAUGCAUUCUUUUUAAUGGGACCCCAACAGUGUCAUUAUUCCAGCAUGUUUUGAUUACGUUUAGGACAAUCACUAAGUUAAGAUAAAUGCUGAAUUCAUGCGGAUAACAACAGUGCGACUCCUGACCAAGUUCUUGGGGCAUCUGGAUGGAUACGCGGUAAACCUACAUAAGGUUUUCAAAAGCAAAGGAGGUGCUUCUGGACAGAAUAUAUCACGCAUAAUGGCAAUUGCUGACAAGCGUGAUGACAUACACCUCGAACGAGACUGUGUCAUAAAGAGUCUGUGUGUGUAUCUCAAUGAGGACAUCACAACACUUGUGAAAGAAUUCAUGGACUGCAACCCUGAAGAAGCUGAGAGACGAAUUUCUGAGACUAUGGGGCUUUGUGAUCCGUAGAAGGUGCUGGUGCUGAGGAGAAACUAGGGGAUGUUGGAGUAGUGAUAGAGGGUGUGAUGCUGCUUCAACGCUUG